GGUGGAAGAACCAGACCGCAUGAGAACCCCAAACGCCCUCAAGAACCCGUUCAUGCCUGAUGAUGACGACAACACUUUCCUCUUUGGAAACCUGCCCAAGAAAGGUGGACAAAAUGUUGGUGGUAAAAAGGGAAAACAAAAGAAAGCAGCACGGAAUCCUGGGAGUUCAGGAAACACCGGCCCAUCACCUCUUCCACCCAAGAGAUGAACAAAACAGUCCGAUUCAACAUGAUUAUUGGUGUGACAACGCAUAUUUCUACAAACAAAACACUGGUGCUCAGUUGCUACUACAUGUGUCUACAGAACACUGCUUCAAGAUAUGUGUGUAACUGUCAGUCCAGAGUUUAGACUGCCUAUACCCAACGAAUAUCCAGUCUGUCGUUGUAAGGCCGGGUUUUCUUAAGCCUUAUCUUUCUCAUACAGGGCGCGAAAGAUUUCCCCAGCGGCAGAAGGCUUCAUCUGCCCGAAGAGAGCCAGGCCAAUCCACGGUGCCAUAUUAACUCAGCGAGAUGCUAUAUGGGAAAGGUGUCAAAGUUGAAAUCACCUGAGCUAUAACGCUAUGAGACAUUAACAACACACGUGUUGAAAAUGUUAUCAAGUCACUGACUAUAGUUCGAUUUAGACGAAGUUAGGUGCCUUCACCUUUGACAUAUUACCAAUAAUGCAUCUUGCUGCAUAUACGUAGUCUAAAUGAUGAGCUGUCUUAUAUACAUGCACUACAAAAAAUGUGCUUAUAAAUUGUCUCCCAUAGUCUUAUAUAUAGUUUAUUUUUAUAGUACAUUUGCAACUGUACAUAGAAGAGAUCUUUGCUAAUGAUUGCAACUGCUGCUGGAGAAAAUGAACAGAGAUGCAUUUUACCAAUGAAAACAGUUUAUUAUACAGCUUGCGUGAUAGGUUGAUUUAAUAAGUGGAAUACGAUUCCAUACAUUUAUGUUGCUCUCAAUGUAAUAUGCAAAAAAAAAGUGUUCCAUUUGGAAUACGAAAUUUUAAAGAUGUAACCUAAGAGAAAAACGCUCCAUUGUAAAUAUUAGUGUUUUCUAUGGACAUUAAAAACAUCGGUGCCCACCCUCUCCAACUGUCCGUUUUUUUCCAUGACUGUGUAUUGAAAAGCAAGCUAACUUACAUCAUAUUUGUCUGAACCAUAUUCUGGUAAAGCUUUAUAGGGUUCAUUAAGCAUAUCAGGUGUAUAUAAACAGUAUAGUAUACAGUCUCUUAAAAAAUUUUGCAUAAAAUUAUUGUCCCGGUUGUUUCUUCGGAAACCCAAAUUGUACACGUAACGUUAACUCUAAAUGUCUUGAUUAUAUGUAACUGCAAGCUAUUG